CACGUAGGGGGCAAGCGUUGUCCGGAUUUAUUGGGCGUAAAGAGCUCGUAGGCGGCUCAGUAAGUCGGGUGUGAAACCUCCAGGCUCAACCUGGAGACGCCACUCGAUACUGCUGUGGCUUGAGUCCGGUAGGGGAGCGUGGAAUUCCUGGUGUAGCGGUGAAAUGCGCAGAUAUCAGGAGGAACACCAGCGGCGAAGGCGGCGCUCUGGGCCGGAACUGACGCUGAGGAGCGAAAGCGUGGGUAGCAAACAGG
rnacentral:rRNA from 1 species